UACAGAGGUCCCAAGCGUUGUUCGGAUUCACUGGGCGUAAAGGGUGCGUAGGUGGUGAGGUAAGUCGGAUGUGAAAGCUCGGAGCUCAACUCCGAAAUGGCAUUGGAAACUACCUUGCUCGAGGGUUGGAGGGGGGACUGGAAUACUUGGUGUAGCAGUGAAAUGCGUAGAUAUCAAGUGGAACACCAGUGGCGAAGGCGGCUCUCUGGAACGCAACUGACGCUGAGACGCGAAAGCGUGGGGAGCAAACAGG
rnacentral:rRNA from 1 species